UACGUAGGGGGCUAGCGUUGUCCGGAAUCAUUGGGCGUAAAGCGCGUGUAGGCGGUCCGGUAAGUCCGCUGUGAAAGUCGGGGGCUCAACCCUCGAAAGCCGGUGGAAACUGUCGGGCUAGAGUGCGGAAGAGGCGAGUGGAAUUCCUGGUGUAGCGGUGAAAUGCGCAGAUAUCAGGAGGAACACCGAUGGCGAAGGCAGCUCGCUGGGACGGUACUGACGCUGAGGCGCGAAAGCGUGGGGAGCGAACAGG
rnacentral:rRNA from 1 species